ACAGAGUAAGUAGGUUGUUACGGACUGGUUGUCUUCCCUGGGGCCGCGCCGGCUGGCUCAUCGGUACUCAGGUGGAGUUCCAUCCCUGGCCCGCAGUCCGCACAAUCGAUAAUUUCACCGAUAUUAACAGCUGUUUAUAAGAGAAGAAACGCAUCACUAACAGAAAAACAAAACAGCUGCCGCGCAAUUGAAAAUUGCGCAAAAACAAAAGGAAAUCCAAAACAAACUAUUGACGACGGGCCACAGCUGGACCCCGGCGUACCCACCCUGCCUGAGAUGGCCACAUCGGCGCCAUCUACCUUGCGUUGGCCACCAUCAGUGGCCGCUCCUCAUCCGGCGUAGUGCUGUGGAGUUCCCCUCCCCUCCAUGCUGAGAAACUUACACAACCAUGUUCAUCGUAAUUACUAUUAUAUUCGAAUUUCAUUACCGCUACACGGAACAGGAUUCGAAACAAAAUCAGCCAACAAAACAAAGAAGAACAACAAAGAAAUAACAACGGAGUAGGGACGAUUUAUAUAUGGUAUGUAAGAUCAAGGAAAAUAUGUGCAUUUAUGUUUUAAUAUGUACGCAUAUUUGGGUGUAUGUAUGUAUAUAAAUGUAUUUAUGUUUGACUCGCUUAAAUGUCUACCUUGACCUGCCUAAGAACUCUUAAGGUUUGGUGAAGGGGCGAUAGGCGAUACUUUAAUGCAUAUAUGUGUAUAUCUUUAUAAAUGUGCAUAUAUCUAUUCCUCCGCAGAUGCGAAUGUUGAUCUGAAUGAUUUCUUGUCCAACACCUACUCUGUCGUUUUACAGCAAAACAUUGAUCUACUUUAAUUUAAAUUUGUACUCUACUUUAAUUAGCUUUCAUAUUUCGAACUUUAAUUUACUUUACUUUAUUUCACUUUGCAGUUUAUAAUUCUUUCAUUUUGUUAUUUUUCUACUCUUUUCAUUUAUAUCUUCUAACAGUUUAUGCUCGAUGACAACUCGAGCUCGAUCGAGCAAUCGUCGCCACCGGUAAUGCGGGUAUAGGGGCGUGUCGCACUAGAGACCAGAACGAGCACGGGCCUGGCACUGACUCACCAGUUGAAUCUCUGCUCCCGGCUCGGCGUUGGCGGUGUCGUCUGCCGCUCGCUGUCCCACGCCGUUGGCGUUACUCCCGUCGUCAAAGCCCGUGUGCCUUCUCCCGGCGACGGUUGCCUGCGGUUAUCCAGCGGUUAUUGUGGCUGCUGGUGUUGCUCGCCGUUGCUCCGGCUGUUGUUGCUGUUGCUCUGGUUGUAGCUGCCGCUGCUCUCUGCUGGAGUUGACGUUGUUGUUGUUGCCGCCGCCGCUGUUAAAUCCUCGUGUCUGGCGAUCUUCUUCUUGUUUGCAACGUUAUUGUUGUUAUUAUUAAUGUUGUUGGCAAUGAGUGCAGCUGCAAUAGAGCCACGCGAUGCUGCAAGUCGUUGCUGCUUCUGUUGUUGUUGUUUUUGUUGGUUGUGCAAUAAAAUGCUUAGGCAACUGACCAACGUCAAUUUAUCAACUGCACUUCUUGGAUUAGUAGUUUUUUUUACUGCCGCUUCGUCUGCUGGCAAUUUGCACUUGUUGAUUUACUCUGCCACGAUUUCACAAUCUGUUUCCUGCACGUAACCAAACUCUCGUCUCACCACUUCAUCAGAAUUCAACUCCCGAACAGCCGUUUUUCUAUUUCUUUGAUGGACCGACACCAACCUCGAUCAAGAAUCAACCUCGUGACACAACUCCCACGAGAAAAGACAGGCAAGAUCGUUCAGCACGAUCUUCCGGCCGACCGUCUCCAACCUCGAUCCAAAAUCAACUCCUCGACUCAGAAAAAUCCACGUUGUAACCUCCCGUGAAAAAAGUUGACAUUCCUUUUUGAACUCCUAUUUAACAGGAGGAGCAAUUUUCAAAUUUCCCCCCCUGGAGUUGCCAUUUCCUAUCUCCGAUAUAUCGCCUCGGGAUAUAUCGAUAACCCCCCCUAACAUUGCUGGCACAAACGAUAUCCAAAACGUAACAAGAAGUGAGCAGUGUGAGUGCGAGUGAGGCAGUGGCUGGGCCGCGUGCGGCGCGUAGCGAGUGCUGACGCAGGGCAAGAGGCACAUGGGCCCAUUGGUUAGGCGACUCGGGGGUCCGAAGAGCAUGCAACGAGCGCAGGCUCAGGAUGGUGUGUUCGAAGUUCGAACAGUUGACCCGAGGAGGAGUUAGAUUAUAUGCUGUAUAACGACUAGGGUUGUCGAAAAUUUUUAAAAAUAUCGUAUCGAUGAUAUUUUUUUUAUCAAAUAAUAUGAUAAUAAUAUUUCUAAAUAUCACCAAAAAAUAUCGAUAUAUUUGAUAUUUUUGAUUUUUUUUAAUAAAAAUGUUUUUUCCUGGAUAAUAAAAAGAAUACAAGUUUUAUAAACUUACAUAUUUUAAUUAUAUUUUUAAUCAACAUGUCUUAUAUGUAUCUAAAUUGAACAUCAAGCCCAAUUGGCAGAAUUUAAAGAUUUUAAAAACACUCUUUGUUUUAUGUGUAUGUCCGUCAUUCGGCUCCUAGCAUCGCUUAUUGCGCAAGUGGGACGACAAAUUCGAUGAAUUACCGCUGGUUUUAAUUGUUUUCUCACAAUGAAUGCACUUCGCGGUGCCGCCUGUUAUAUUUGUGUAAUUUGAUUUAACAUUCAUUUUUAUCUUUAUUCUUCUGUCGAAUUUCAAUUAUUAAUUUAAGUUUAAAUUGAAAGUUUCAAUCGACGCUUUGAAUUUUGAGUGACCAAGGAAAAAAUAUCAAAAAAAUAUCAAAAAAAAUAUCGUGAUUUCGAUAUUUGGGCAAAAAAAUAUCACGAUAUAAAUAUAUCAUUUUUAGAAAAAAAUAUCGAUAUAUUGAUAUUUUGAUAUAUUAUCAACAAUCGUUAUUAACGAGACAAUGAUUGGACUGCACUGUCACAUACGCAAGUGUCGCAGUGAUUUGGAAAUUUUAUAAAUUGAAGUUUAGAUAUUAAUAUUAAUAUUGUAUUGUGUUCUUUGUUUAUUCAUUGUGUUCUUUUAUUUGCACGUGGUAUGUUGGAGCGGUGGGCCAGAGGAGGCGUAGGAUAUCAUGUUGAGUAAACGAGCAGUGAGUGGACAAAACGCUGGACAAAACGCUAUAAUAAUUGGCGACCGGCGUGUGGGCUUGUCAAUGCAACUGAUUGAAAGCACUUGUAAAUUAUUUAAGUAAAUAAAUGAGAAGAAUGACUAGAAAUUGAUAAAUUGUGACCACUCAGGGAACGAGGGAGCGUGCAGUAAGUGCAGACACAGGGUAGUCGAAACAGCGGUUCUGUAAAGGCGUAGGGAAUUGGUUUUUUGCUUUCAGGUGUAAGUGCAGUAUGCAGUAGCAAUUCUGUACGGGAUCCAAGCAGACACACCACACACCACUCACCACCCGCCCCAGCCCAGCACUGAAGGAUAUUCAAAAUAUAGGCUAUGUUUAGUUUGUUGAAAGGGGCACAGUUGCGGUUAGGUUUAUGAAUAUUAGCGACUGGUUUGUUUCUAUUUAUAAUAUUGUUAGUGGAUGUAUUAAACAUUAAAGUCUAUGUCAUUGGCACGAGUAGUAUUAUUGUUUAAUUUGUGGGGCUGCCGUGUUUUU